AUUGAACGCUGGCGGCAGGCUUAACACAUGCAAGUCGAGCGGUAACAGAGAGAAGCUUGCUUCUCUGCUGACGAGCGGCGGACGGGUGAGUAAUGCCUAGGAAUCUGCCUAGUAGUGGGGGAUAACUUGCCGAAAGGUAAGCUAAUACCGCAUACGUCCUACGGGAGAAAGGAGGGGACCUUCGGGCCUUUCGCUAUUAGAUGAGCCUAGGUCGGAUUAGUUAGUUGGUGAGGUAAUGGCUCACCAAGACCGCGAUCCGUAACUGGUCUGAUAGGAUGAUCAGUCACACUGGAACUGAGACACGGUCCAGACUCCUACGGGAGGCAGCAGUGGGGAAUAUUGGACAAUGGGGGGAACCCUGAUCCAGCCAUGCCGCGUGUGUGAAGAAGGUCUUAGGAUUGUAAAGCACUUUAAGUUGGGAGGAAGAGCAGUUAACUAAUAUUUGACUGUUUUGACGUUACCGACAGAAUAAGCACCGGCUAACUUCGUG
rnacentral:rRNA from 1 species